rnacentral:rRNA from 1 species
AUUGAACGCUGGCGGCAUGCCUUACACAUGCAAGUCGAACGGCAGCAUAGGAGCUUGCUCCUGAUGGCGAGUGGCGAACGGGUGAGUAAUAUAUCGGAACGUGCCCUAGAGUGGGGGAUAACUAGUCGAAAGACUAGCUAAUACCGCAUACGAUCUACGGAUGAAAGUGGGGGAUCGCAAGACCUCAUGCUCCUGGGGCGGCCGAUAUCUGAUUAGCUAGUUGGUGGGGUAAAAGCCUACCAAGGCGACGAUCAGUAGCUGGUCUGAGAGGACGACCAGCCACACUGGGACUGAGACACGGCCCAGACUCCUACGGGAGGCAGCAGUGGGGAAUUUUGGACAAUGGGGGCAACCCUGAUCCAGCAAUGCCGCGUGAGUGAAGAAGGCCUUCGGGUUGUAAAGCUCUUUUGUCAGGGAAGAAACGGUAGUAGCGAAUAACUAUUACUAAUGACGGUACCUGAAGAAUAAGCACCGGCUAACUACGUGCCAGCAGCCGCCGUAA